CCUACGGGAGGCUGCAGUGAGGAAUAUUGGUCAAUGGACGAGAGUCUGAACCAGCCCAGUAGCGUGAAGGAUGACUGCCCUAUGGUUUGUAAACUUCUUUUAUAAAGGAAUAAAACGAGGCACGUGUGCCUUUUUGCAUGUACUUUAUGAAUAAGGAUCGGCGAACUCCUUGCCAGCCGCCGCGGUACUACGGAGGAUCCGAGCGUUAUCCGGAUUUAUUGGGUUUAAAGGGAGCGUAGAUGGGUCGUUAAGUCAGUUGUGAAAGUACGCGGCUCAACCGUAAAAUUGCAAUGGAUACUGGCAGUCUUGAGUACAGUUGAGGUAAGCGGAAUUCGUGGUGUAGCGGUGAAAGGCUUAGAUAUCGCGAAGAACCCCGAUUGCGAAGGCAGCUUACUAAACUGUGACUGACAUUGAUGCUCGAAAGUGUGGGUAUCAAACAGGAUUAGAUACCCCAGUAGUC
rnacentral:rRNA from 1 species